AUGGCUUUUUGCUGUUACUGUUGUGCUUUUCAGACGUGGCUCCUUGUUAUUGUUUGCUUGUUUGCUUGUUUGUUUCUAUCAGUACUUAAGCAGGAGAUGGACUUCUUGUGCAGGCACACACCAGCAGGAUGGCCUGUCCUGGGGAUGACCUUCCCCCAUUUGCAGGUGGGCGUACCGGCAGUCAGGCUGAGCGUGAAAAAGGGCACACAGGACCAACGGAGGGGUCCUUUACAAGGUAAAGGAUUUUUUUUCAGUUCUCCAGAUUGUAACACCUCAGAGAGAUCUGUCACACACCCUGAGCACUGCAGUCCCGGUGCCGCUGUAGAAUGCCUCCGCGGCGCAGCGCUGUGUACCGUCACAACACCGUUUUCCAGGGCACCCUGCGCGCACGGCCGGGAUGUCACACCUGGCCUGGAGGUUCCCACCGGACGAAGGGCGGCGCUGCGGGCUCACACUGGGCCGGCUGCCGGCGGGCCGCGGGCUCCUCCCGGCGGCGGCCGCUCCGCAGGGUACGGGCCUCGCCCCGCCGUGCCCGGAGGGGAGCAGGCAGACCCGGACACCACUAUACCGGGCGUUCUGUUGGUGGUCAUGAAUUGCGCUUGUCGACGAGGGGGUAUUUGUUUCGAGAGCGCUCAGGAAGUAAGCAGUACGGAUGAAAUGCAGAGCCCCUAGGAAUUACCAUUGUAUCUGGAAAGACAGAUGUCUGCCAUCACUGCAAGAUAAUGGGUUCAAUUUCCUUUUGGCCAAGAAAGAGAACCUAGAUGAAGAUGUAAUGCAGCUGGACAAUUAGCCACUACAAAUAGUUUGCUGAGGCUCUGGGCAAUACGGAGACCUCUGUAAACAUCAGAAUUACAGACAAUGUGCAUUCAGUCUGUGUAGUUUGCUUAAUUCUCAACGCUGUGUUAAACGAUUUACCCAAGCUGCUUUUUAAUAAACAUACCUGACCCAAGUAUAUUCUCCA
rnacentral:lncRNA from 1 species